GUCUACGGCCACACCUCCCUGAACGCUCUCUUGUCUGAUUUCGGAAGUUAGGCAGGGACUGGCCUGGUUAGUACUUGAAUGGGAGAAUGAAAGAGAAAGUAGAGUGUGGGAGGGA
rnacentral:rRNA from 1 species